GUAGGGGCCAAGCGUUAUCCGGAUUUAUUGGGCGUAAAGAGCUCGUAGGCGGCUUGGCAAGUCGGUCGUGAAAGUCCGAGGCUCAACCUCGGAAUGCCGGUCGAAACUGCCAUGGCUAGGGUUUCGGUAGAGGAGAGUGGAAUUCUCGGUGUAGCGGUGAAAUGCGCAGAUAUCGAGAGGAACACCAGUAGCGAAGGCGGCUCUCUGGGCCGAUACCGACGCUGAGGAGCGAAAGCGUGGGGAGCAAACAGGGAUUAGAUACCCUGGUAGUCCACGCCGUAAACGGUGAUCACUAGGUGUGGCGGACUCAUUGACGUCUGCUGUGCCGGCGCUAACGCAUUAAGUGAUCCGCCUGGGAGUACGGCCGCAAGGCUA
rnacentral:rRNA from 1 species